AGCUAACGUUGGCGGCGUGCCUAACACAUGCAAGUCGAACGCGUCCCCGCAAGGGGAUGAGUGGCGAACGGGUGAGUAACACGUGGGUCAUCUCCCCUCGAGUGAGGAAUAAGCUCCCGAAAGGGAGUCUAAUACUGCAUAACGCCCCGGGGCAUAAGUCCCGGGUCCAAAGCCGUAAGGCGCUUGAGGAUGAGCCUGCGUCCUAUUAGCUAGUUGGUAGGGUAAUGGCCUACCAAGGCGAAGAUGGGUAGCCGGCCUGAGAGGGUGAACGGCCACACUGGGACUGAGACACGGCCCAGACUCCUACGGGAGGCUG
rnacentral:rRNA from 1 species